AAACUUAAACCCUUUGCAGUUGAAAUCAGCGUCUGAAAAAACUUAAUAGUUACAACUUUCAACAACGGAUCUCUUGGUUCUGGCAUCGAUGAAGAACGCAGCGAAAUGCGAUAAGUAGUGUGAAUUGCAGAAUUCAGUGAAUCAUCGAAUCUUUGAACGCACAUUGCGCCCCUUGGUAUUCCAUGGGGCAUGCCUGUUCGAGCGUCAUUU
rnacentral:rRNA from 1 species